rnacentral:rRNA from 1 species
UACAGAGGUCUCAAGCGUUGUUCGGAUUCAUUGGGCGUAAAGGGUUCGUAGGCGGUGUGGCAAGUCGGGAGUGAAAUCUCUGGGCUCAACCCAGAGUCUGCUUCCGAAACUGCUGUGCUUGAGUGUGGGAGAGGCGCGUGGAAUUGCAGGUGUAGCGGUGAAAUGCGUAGAUAUCUGCAGGAACACCCGUGGCGAAAGCGGCGCGCUGGACCACUACUGACGCUGAGGCGCGAAAGCUAGGGGAGCAAACGGG